CCUACGGGAGGCAGCAGUGGGGAAUAUUGGACAAUGGGCGAAAGCCUGAUCCAGCAAUGCCGCGUGAGUGAUGAAGGCCUUAGGGUUGUAAAGCUCUUUUACCCGGGAUGAUAAUGACAGUACCGGGAGAAUAAGCUCCGGCUAACUCCGUGCCAGCAGCCGCGGUAAUACGGAGGGAGCUAGCGUUAUUCGGAAUUACUGGGCGUAAAGCGCACGUAGGCGGCUUUGUAAGUUAGAGGUGAAAGCCUGGAGCUCAACUCCAGAAUUGCCUUUAAGACUGCAUCGCUUGAAUCCAGGAGAGGUGAGUGGAAUUCCGAGUGUAGAGGUGAAAUUCGUAGAUAUUCGGAAGAACACCAGUGGCGAAGGCGGCUCACUGGACUGGUAUUGACGCUGAGGUGCGAAAGCGUGGGGAGCAAACAGGAUUAGAUACCCCUGUAGU
rnacentral:rRNA from 1 species